CUUCACCUCCGGCGGAAUUGCCCUCGAAUUGCUUUUCGGAAACAUACCAAGGCGUCGCUGUCAAAUCCAAGUCUGGCGGUGGAUCUGGAGUUGCUGGCCGGUCUUCUGGCUCCAAUCCGAAUGGCCUUAACCGAUAAAUCAGAUUCUUAUGCGCGGGUAAUGUCGCGGAGCUCUUCUCAAGCCUUGAGCAGAACGUAGAAGGUCAUCGGCUUUCGCUUUAUUUUGUUCGGCCGGCAUACGUGGAUCACGACUCAUUUCCUCAACCAGCGCUCCACUUGGAUCACCUAUGAGGGUUCACUGUCCCUCUUUUCUUGCUCUGGUAGGUACGAGAGUCUGACCUUGGUCAACCGCGCUUUAGAAUCUCUUAAAUGUUCAGCAUUUGCGAGCGUGCUGAAUUGUUCAAUCGCUCGAGGGAUCGCUCUAGCGAUCCCGAAGGGCGAUUGGAAUUACAUGAGUAAUUAUAAGCGAAACUUUAACUGUGUGGACACUGUUUAUUCUAGCCCAUUCAUAGCACUAACGAAUUUUCGUCUGCUACGGCUCUCCCAUCAGACCUGUUAGCAGCGAAUCAAUACUCCUUGGGACAGUUCGACAAUUAACCCGGGAUUGGGAAACUGGGUAGGUUCCAAUGCGGGAUAAACAUGAAUCAAUAUCCGCCUCUUCCUCUUCUUCUCCGGCCAUCUCGACCGCCACGGCCUCUAGAAAGAAGACAGAAGGAUCGAAGCAUAAAUACACGGGCAGCGGAGGGUGGGAUAUUACACAGUUAAAGUUUCGCUUAUAAUUACUCAUGUAAUUCCAAUCGCCCUUCGGGAUCGCUAGAGCGAUCCCUCGAGCGAUUGAACAAUUACAUUUCGAAUUACCCGCUCACUUUAACUGUGACUUCAAAGCAACAUUAACCCAUCGAUGAGCGGGACAAAAUAGAAUUCGAAACCAAA